rnacentral:lncRNA from 1 species
UCCNNNNNNNNNNGCCGGAACACAAAAGGGAAUCUGCAAGCCAUGCUAAUUGUCAGGAACUCAGCCCAGGCUGGCGAUUUCAUUUUCGUUUCUUAAUUCAGACCUUAAAGAGGACCUUAAAGCACGUGACAGAUACAAUCACAGAGAGAAAAGACCGCGUUUUGCUUUUUCCUCGUCGAAUGCCUCCUGGAGAACAAGAGGCUGCAAGAACCCGGAAUUGGACGGAUGGCUCAUUGAGGACUGAUCACCAACGAGCACAUAAAACACCAGACCCGCUUACGAUUCCUCGUUGCACACAAUAAACAAAGCAGAUUCUCUAGACCACAAGGAAGGACUCAGAAGGACAACGAACAGAAUUCUAGCCUCCUCCUGUAGCAGCAGCAACAUUUAAGGAUAAGUGAACGUGUGCGGCUUAGAACCCGAUCAGGUCAAAGUACGGGUGAAAGACGGAAAGGUCUGUGUGUCAGCUGAGAGGGAGAACAGGUACGACUGCCUUGGAUCCAAAAAUUACAGUUACACGAACGUCUGCAAAGAGUUCAGCUUGCUGCCGCCGUGUGUGGACGAGAAAGAAGUGGCGUACACAAGAGAAAGAAGUGACACAGCUCACCAGCUGUGUCAAGAUUGAAUCUCCAUGUUACCCUUGCACUUCUCCCUGACACCCCUGCAUCCCCUGGGGCCCCUGCGGCACCUGAGGCGCCUGUGGACCCUGCGGGCCC